GGUAGUCGGGUGUGCUGUGAAAUCCAGAGGCUCAACCUCGGGCUUGCAUUGGGUACGGGCACACUAGAGGGCGGAAGGGGAGACGGGAAUUCCUGGUGUAGCGGUGGAAUGCGCAGAUAUCAGGAGGAACACCGAUGGCGAAGGCAGAUCUCUGGGCCGUAACUGACGCUGAGGAGCGAAAGCAUGGGGAGCGAACAGGAUUAGAUAGCCCGGUAGUCCAUGCCGUAAACGUUGGGCGCUAGAUGUAGGGACCUUUCCACGGUUUCUGUGUCGUAGCUAA
rnacentral:rRNA from 1 species